rnacentral:tRNA from 2 species
CGGUUAUCACGUCGCCCUGUCACGGCGAAGAUCGCGGGUUCGAUUCCCGUCGGGACCG